CCUACGGGAUGCACCAGUGGGGAAUAUUGCACAAUGGGCGCAAGCCUGAUGCAGCCAUGCCGCGUGUAUGAAGAAGGCCUUCGAGUUGUAAAGUACUUUCAGCGGGGAGGAAGGCGAUAAGGUUAAUAACCUCAUCGAUUGACGUUACCCGCAGAAGAAGCACCGGCUAACUCUGUGCCAGCAGCCGCGGUAAUACGGAGGGUGCAAGCGUUAAUCGGAAUUACUGGGCGUAAAGCGCACGCAGGCGGUCUGUCAAGUCGGAUGUGAAAUCCCCGGGCUCAACCUGGGAACUGCAUUCGAAACUGGCAGGCUAGAGUCUUGUAGAGGGGGGUAGAAUUCCAGGUGUAGCGGUGAAAUGCGUAGAGAUCUGGAGGAAUACCGGUGGCGAAGGCGGCCCCCUGGACAAAGACUGACGCUCAGGUGCGAAAGCGUGGGGAGCCAACAGGAUUAGAUACCCGUGUAGUC
rnacentral:rRNA from 1 species